ensembl:snoRNA LOC120096436 small nucleolar RNA U3
AAGACUAUACUUUCAGGGAUCAUUUCUAUAGUUCGUUACUAGAGAAGUUUCUCUGACUGUGAAGAGUUGCAGGAGAGAAAUCAACCAGA